rnacentral:rRNA from 1 species
GACGAACGCUGGCGGCGUGCUUAACACAUGCAAGUCGAACGGAAAGGCCCUGCUUGCAGGGUACUCGAGUUGCGAACGGGUGAGUAACACGUGGGUGAUCUGCCCUGCACUUCGGGUUAAGCCUGGUCAACUGGGUCUAAUACCGGACAGGAGCUAUUUUUAAUGUGAUGGUUGGAAAGUUUUUUCGGUGUAGGAUGAGCUCGCGGACUAUCAGCUUGUUGGUGGGGUAAUGGCCUACCAAGGCGGCGACGGGUAGCCGCCCUGGGAGGGUGGACGGCCACAUUGGGACCGAGAGACGGCCCAGAGUAGGACGGGAGGCAGCAGGGGGGAAUAUUGCACAAUGAGCGGAAGCGUGAUGGAGGGAGGCCUCGUGGGGGAAGACGGCCUUCGGGUUGUAAAAUCCUUUCGCUAGGGACGAAGCUUUUUGUGACGGUACCUAGAUAAGAAGCCCCGGCUUACUACGUG